UCUCCAGCUACUCCCAUUUCUCGCUCUCCUUCACAGCCACAGUCCUCAGUGAGUUGUUCCUACGCCUCCCCUCUGCACUCUGACCCACACCAUCUUGCUUCUAUUCUGCAAACAUCUGCUCUAUUUAGAUACUUUUAGUCAAGCUCCCCUCUGCCCUGCAUUUUUCAGCCUCUCACUGACACUGUCCUCACUGGCCGAUCUCCUGCCCUGUUCUCCCACUUGGAGGAGCCCUUAUUCCCCGAUCUGAGAAGUCUUCUUUCUUUGGGCUUCUAUACCCCAUUGUCCUACUUGACUGGCAAUUCCUGUUCAGUUCUGUAGCUGUUUCCUCUUCUGCCUGACCUUUAGGUCGGCCUGGACAUUCCUUAGGACUGGGCCUUUUCCAGUCCCCUAACCCUCUAAACGACGGCAUACACUUUCAUGGACUUCAAUGCCGUCUUCCAUUCAUUUCUUCAACACUUAAAGCAUUGGCGCCUUGGGUAACUUUCCAGGUGAGAGCUCGUCUUUGAUGUUCAAUACAUUUAUCACGUCUGAAAGGCUACAUUCCUCCUUCCUGCAACCCCACCUUUCCCUCCGGUCAUCUCCCUCAUGGUCUCAGCACUGGCUCUCUGACUGCUUAAGCAAGAAUUGCAGAAGCCAUCCUUGCAUCUCCUCUUUCCUUCCUCUUAAUUCACAGUCUGACUUUAAUUCCCGCAAUCUUUCUCGAGAACAUAUAAAACCUGGCUGGGCUUGGUGGUCCACGCCUGUAAUCCUGGCAUUCAGGAAGCUGAGACAGGAGGGUCACUGCAGGUUUGAGGCCAGCUGGGCUCUGUAGGCCAGUGUGAGCUACAUAUUGAGUCCUGGUCUCAAAACAAAUAAAAGAAAAUAAAUCUAAAAUCCCUUCGUUAUUCCGUAUCUCUCUCCAAAGCAACAUCAUCUUUAUUUGUCUCCUUAUUUCCUUAUUCCUCUUUCUAAUCUGCUCUCCACUUAGCACCUGAAGUGAAAUUAAAACUGAAAUCAUCAUAUUUCUGUCCUUCCAUUUCUUUCAGUCCUUAGAAUAAAAGCCAGACUCUCAGUGAUGGCUGCGAAGGUCCUAAAGGACAACGACCCCAACCUUUCUGGCACCAGGGGCCAGUUUCCUGGAGGACAAUUAAUGGCUUGGGGACCUGGGAUGGUUCAAGAAUUUAUUCAAUCCUUCUAUUAUUAUAUAUUAUAAAAUACAGUGAGGUAAUUAUACAACUGACCACGAUGAGCCAUCAGUGAGAGCCCUAAGCUUGUUUCUCUGCACCUAGAUAGUCCCAAGGGGAGGAAAUGGAAAUGUGACACCUGUGUGUGGCCCUUGUCCAGUCUGCUCCCCAGUCUUGUUUUGGUUGCUGUCACCACAGAAAACCCUGCUUCACAGAGAUAGGGCGUUAGAAAUGGGAGCAGGCUUGUCUGAGCUUUUGUGACAAUCUCAGGAUAUUCCACUUUGAAUUUAAUUCAGAAUGUAUGGAGAUUUGAAGUUGUCUCAAACUUUCUUUUAAGGCUUCUGUUAUUUCCAAUUUCGAUCAGUUUGUGCUCUUCUACCACAGACAAAGUCCACUGACCUCGUUAAUUCACAUGUGGCUCACAGAUCCAUCCCUUCUCAAUUUUGGGUUAUUUUUUGGUUGGCAAGUAAUGCUUCAACUCUUUUGAAGGUUACAAUAGGUGAUCAUGCACCAGCUGGCAGAAAGAAGUUCCUGGCCCAUUCUCUUUCAAAAUCUUUGCUAAUGUUUGAAACAUGCCCCAAAUCCCAAGACCCACAGGCUGCCCCAGUAGUUCCAGUUUAGCUUUGAAUGCAUCCACUUUAUCUGCUGCUGUUCUCCCCUCAAGUGGCAGAUUGAGUUUUUCAAGCAGGUUGGAUAUAUCUCAUAAAUAAGCAUGUUAUGUGACCCAUUCCGUGUCACUGAAACGUGCAGUCAAUGGUGCUGAUUUAUAAAAGCAAUCUCUGGAGCAAAUCUUGUAUUUCAAAAACUCUGGCCGCUGAUCUACCUACCUUUAGAAAGCCACCUUACUCCUGUGUAUAAGAGAAGACCUGUGUGCUCUGUGUCCAUCUCCUCACAGAGUUGCACAAACAGGUGUGAGUUAAGGGCCUGUACUUUAAUGUGGUUGGUGAUCCUAAUGACAUCCUGAAAAAUGAUACUAAGUUUAAGCUAGCCAGCAUUUCUCGAUGGAUGACACAGUGUAUAGACUAACACAGAAGUGAGCUCUUUGACCCAGUAGUGAAAGCGGAAAGCCAUCGAGUCAUGGCAGCUGCUUUUGCUGCACAUAUACAGACAUAAAAUGACCAAUUCAGUUUUCCUGAUAUGGAAUCAUUCAAAGACUUGAAUAGUUUCACAAGCUGUAGCGUUGGUUGGGAACAAAAAUGCGUAUAGCAUUUCUUCAUGCACAUCUGCCUGAAAAGGAGAUCACACAGAACACGCACUGCUGCCCUGUUGUCAGCAUCAGUGAACUUGUCCAAACUGACUCCGUGCCAGAGUGAUUCAUUACUCCUCUUCAACAGUGCCUCGAUGUCCUUGGUAUUUCAUUAAUUCAUCUAGUUAUGGUGCUGACCAAAAGAGGAACAUGUGCCACACUGCGAACCGAAUCUUCUCCUAAGGCUUCAUGAGGAGUGUUCUUCACAGCAGGCAGGAUCAACUCUGCACCAGCAGUGGAGGCUUAGCUUUAGCCGCGUGGGUGGCAUUGAGAACGCUGCUCUCAGUGCAGACACAUCGGAUGCAUUGGUGGCCUUCAAUAACCACUUCCGUUGUUUCUGUUUACACUCUUUUCUUUGGAAAAACUUCAAAGGCAUGACUUCUGAAUCAGGAUGCUUGGUGUCUAUGUGGAGAAGCAGUUUUGAAGAUUUCAUGGCUUUGGUGGUUAGCUGAUCACCACAAAUUAUACAAAACAGGCUUGGAGUAUGUGAAUCAUCUGUUGUAAUAUGUUCAUAAUUUAAUUAGGGUCCUUGGUAUUUUCCUUAAAUGCAAUUUUCUUUUUUGGCAGUUUUAGAGUCUUCUGUUGUCUCAUCAUUGGGUCUUUCCCCCCUUUCAAAGAAGCUGUCUGGUGAUGUUUGUUGUUUGCUCAUUUUGACUAGGGUUUGACUAUGGGCUUACCACAACUGUGACUGAGGCAAGUGUGUAGUGUGGAAAAGAGAUAUUGAUAAAGUAGUUAAUAGAACAAUGGGACAUCAACUCACUUGCCACUGUAAAGCCUGACACCAGACACAGUUUAACAGUCACUAUUUACUGAUAGAGUUUUGAUGUAAAUCUGUAAGCAAUUGAUUUCUUAUGGUCUCUUUGCAGUCAAACUUGUCUGCUGAAGUUAAUCUGUAUUUGCAACUGCUUCCCAGUGCUACCAUCGGUGCCUCAGCUCCACCUCAGACCAUCAGGUGUUAGAUUCUCCUAAGGAGCUCCAACCUACAGCCCGCACGUGCACAGCACUCAGUAGUGUUUGUGCUGUGAGAAUCUAAUACCAUUACUGACCUGACAAGAGGCACAGCUCAGGUGGUAAUUUGAGUGAUGGGGAGCAGCUGUGGCUAAAGAUGAAGCUUCACUUCCAGCCUGCUGCUCAGCUCCUGCUCUGUGGCCCAGUUCCUAGCAGCCCUUGGCUGGUACUGCUCCAUGUUCUGGAGUAGUGGUGGUGAACCUAUGGCACAUGUGCUGCAAUGGGCUGUUUGUUAUUGUUCAAAGCUCUAAAAGGUUUACCAUGCCUGGCUAUGGGCUGGGACCCUUGAUAUAGGGUUUGGUCCCAGCUUAUCUCUUAGACUGGAGCCACUCUCUUGUUCUAGCCUUUUUGUUUGUUUGUUUGUUUGUUUGUUUGUUUCAGGCAACGGUCAAGAUCUUUGGCAGGCUUUCUCUCUUCUUGGCCUGCUGCCCCUGGCUCUGGACAUAGCUGACUUAUUCUAGGUCUCAGAAAUGAGGUUAAAGGUUGUCUCUGAGUAAUUACCUGGCCACCUUCUAUAUUAUCUGUUUCAUUGUGGAAUUUGUUUCUUUCAUGACACAUCACAAUUUGAAAUGAUUUCAUUUGCCUACUGACCUACACCCUAUUUAUCACUUGUAUUUCUGUCAUUUAUUUAUUUAUUGGAGUACUGCAGCUUUAUUUUAUUUUGCGAUAAGGUCUUGCUAAGUUGCCCAGCUUGGCCUCAAACUCUGCAUCCUCUUAGCCUCUCCAGUGCUUGGAUUGCAAGCAUGCACCGUCUUGCCCAGUUCUUUUUUCUCUUCUUUUUAAAAAAAAUCUCUGUAAAAAGUAAGGCUCAUGAAGUUAGGUCUUACAAUUUACCUUUGUGUCCCCAGGCAGGAAGCUGUCAGACACAUGGAAGGUGCCCCAUAGUAUUUGUUAAAUAAGAACAACACAUAUUUAUUCCUUUUUAAAAAGUAUAGGACAUAUAAUAAACUAAGAUGCAUAUUGAGAGUGUGCUUUAAUUCAAUUUGGGAUGUACUUUUCUACAAAGCUCUUGCUUCCAUCACUGGAAGCAUCACUAUUUUAUUUCUCGGUUAUUUUGUAAAAGCACUUUGAUUAACCUUUCUUCCCUUUUUCUCUAGGGUACUCUCACAGGAAACGGAAGUUACAGAAUGCAAGGGAAGCUUUGAACUUGUGAUCCUCCUGCCUCAGCUUCCUGCGUAGCUGGGAUUACAGACAUGUGCCACAGAGCCUGACUGUCCAGAUGAUGGUAAUAUGCAAUCAGGGCUGAGAAAUACAGGUCUGUUAUAUCUCUUGGCUUAAUCUCCAUUCCCCCUCUGCACAUACAAUCAUUUCCAAUAAGCAGCUCUUACAUAAUAAUCACUAUAUUUUUCAUUUUUCUGAAAUUUAAUACAUGAGAAUGCAAUAUAUUUUGGAAAAAAAGAAACUUCAAUCCUAUAUAAAACAUUUUAAACUAAGUAAAAUAUGGUAUAUUACAAACACAAAAUAUGUGCAGCAAAAAAGUCAAAGUUAAAUAAAAUACUGAACUAUACUGUCAGUAUUAUCAGAGGUGAAACAUGGAAAUAUGAUAAUAUUCAUAGGUAACAUUGAUAGCUAUCCAUUCAUCUGUCAUUUUUAAAGUUAUGUAGUUUAUGUUCAUCUCUACCUGUAACUUUUAAACUCUGUAUACAAAUAGGAAUUUGUUUGCUCUAUUGACAACAGUAUACCUAUAAAUUAUAUAUAAAUAUCAUAUUAUAUAUAUUAUUAAUAAUAUAAAUUAUGCAUAUACAUAUAUAUAGAGAGAGAGAGAGAGAGAAUUGAUCGCAUGGCUUUGCACAUGUUAGACAAGAGCUCUACCACUGAGCUCCAACCCCAGUCCUUUUAAGUCUUUCUUUUUUUUUAAUUUUGAGGAUGGGCCAAAACUUUUGAUCCUCCUACCUCAAACUCCCAAGCAGAUGCAAUUAGGAGCAUGGACCACCAACUUGAGAGUAACCAAUAUUAGUAUAUGAAUGAAUGAGUGAGUAUUUCUCACAGUAGAUCUGUGAGGUAGGUCUCUCAUUUUUCCCAUGUUAUAGAUAAGGAUGCUGAGACACACAAUUUACUAAUAUACAGUCUUCAUGGGAUAUUUGUGUUCUGUUCACUGCUGUACCUCUAGGUAUAUAGAACAGUGUGUAACAUACUAAAUAUUUCUUGAAUGAAAAUAGAAAAUAACUCCAUUUCCCCUAGCCAUAGAAUGGUAAAGAAGUCAGUAUUCAAACUCAAGUCUGAGUAGAUCUAUACCAUUCAUUUUUUUUCUUUUUCCUUUUGAAAUUGCUCAUGGCCAUGGAAGAAUUGCAGUAACAGUAAGAGAACAAUAACAGUACAAGACCCAGUGACCCUUCACCUGGACUCCUCACUCCGCCUGUGCCACAUUGGCUUUAUCUGUUUCCCGAUAUGCACCAUGAUUUUUUCUGAACCAUAUCUAAGGAAGGCACAGACAUCUUGACACUCCACCUGGACUCUUUGUCCAGUGAUUGCUAAGAGAAAACAUGCAGCUUUUAUAUCUAAGAAAAUUAAGAUUAGUUCAAAUUUCCUUAGCCGUUCACCAAAUUACUUUAUGGAUUUCCCCCAGUCAGCGUCCCACCAAGGCUCACUGCCUUUGGUUGCUGCCUUCUCAGAAGGUCUGUUCUUCUAGCCCUAUUCUGCAGUAUAGCACUUAAGAAAUGCUUAACUCCACCUCAGCAUUUUGUUUUCACAGCUUCGUCAGUCUGGCCAACCUUCCUCCCUCAGGAUCAGCAAAUGCAGGAGCAGAGGGGAUUUGCUCAGAGGAGAACAUCUACACCAUCAAGGAGAGCGUCUACCCCAUGGAGGAUCCAACUAGCAUGGCUCCCCAACCCAGAGACUGCAGAUUGUGGGCAUUAGAGCUCAGAAGUGCUUCAAUAAGGAGAAACCACCAACUGAGAGAAGAGACAAUCUACAGAGUAGGAAAAUAUAUUUACCAGCUAUUCAGAUAAAGGCCUACUAUCUAGCAUAUAUAAAGAACUCAAAAAAAUCAGAGCCCCCCCCCAAAUUUAAAGACCCAAUGCAAAGAUGGGCAUCUGAAA